rnacentral:rRNA from 1 species
GAUGAACGCUGGCGGCGUGCCUAAUACAUGCAAGUCGAACGGAAGUAGUAAUACUUUAGUGGCGAACGGGUGAGUAACACGUGGGUAACCUGCCCUUAAGACGAGGAUAACAGUUGGAAACGAUUGCUAAUACUGGAUAGUAUAAAUUAACGCAUGUUGAUUUAUUUAAAGAUGCGUAUGCAUCACUUAAGGAGGGGCCUGCGGUGCAUUAGCUAGUUGGUGAGGUAACGGCUCACCGAGGCAACGAUGCAUAGCUGUGCUGAGAGGCGAAACAGCCACACUGGGACUGAGACACGGCCCAGACUCCUACGGGAGGCAGCAGUAGGGAAUUUUCGGCAAUGGGGGGAACCCUGACCGAGCAACGCCGCGUGAAUGAAUAAGGCCUUCGGGUCGUAAAAUUCUGUUAUUGGGAAUGAAACUUAUGAGGAGGAAAUGCCUCAUAACUGACAGUACCUGAUUAGAAAGCCCCGGCUAACUAUGUGCCAGCAGCCGCGGUAAUACAUAGGGGGCAAAGCGUUAUCCGGAAUUAUUGGGCGUAAAGCGUGCGUAGGCGGNUUACUAAGUUUGGUGUAAAAUACUAUAGCUUAACUAUAGAGGGUCAUUGAAAACUGGUAGACUUGAAUACGGUAGAAGUAAGUGGAAUUUCUAGUGGAGCGGUGGAAUGCGUA